rnacentral:rRNA from 1 species
GAUGAACGCUGGCGGCGUGCCUAAUACAUGCAAGUCGAGCGAACGGACGAGAAGCUUGCUUCUCUGAUGUUAGCGGCGGACGUGUGAGUAACACGUGGAUAACCUACCUAUAAGACUGGGAUAACUUCGGGAAACCGGAGCUAAUACCGGAUAAUAUUUUGAACCGCAUGGUUCAAAAGUGAAAGACGGUCUUUCUGUCACUUAUAGAUGGAUCCGCGCUGCAUUAGCUAGUUGGUAAGGUAACGGCUUACCAAGGCAACGAUGCAUAGCCGACCUGAGAGGGUGAUCGGCGACACUGGAACUGAGACACGGUCCAGACUCCUAAGGGAGGCAGCAGUAGGGAAUCUGCCGCAAUGGGCGAAAGCCUGACGGAGCAACGCCGCGUGAGUGAUGAAGGUCUUCGGAUCGUAAAACUCUGUUAUUAGGGAAGAACAUAUGUGGAAGUAACUGUGCACAGCUUGACGGUACCUAAUCAGAAAGCCACGGCUAACUACGUG